GCCAGGCAUGGUGGCGUGUGCCUGUAGUCCCAGCUACUCGGGAGGCUGAGGUAGGAGGAUCACUUGAGCCCAGGAGGUUGAGACUGCAGUGAGCUAUGAUCGCAUCAUGGCACUCCAACCUGGGUGAAAAAGAGAGAACCUGUCUCAA
rnacentral:SRP_RNA from 1 species